rnacentral:snRNA from 1 species
AACCCGCGGUAUACCGCAGAGA